GACGAACGCUGGCGGCGUGCUUAACACAUGCAAGUCGAACGGAAAGGCCCUGCUUUUGUGGGGUGCUCGAGUGGCGAACGGGUGAGUAACACGUGAGUAACCUGCCCUUGACUUUGGGAUAACUUCAGGAAACUGGGGCUAAUACCGGAUAGGAGCUCCUGCUGCAUGGUGGGGGUUGGAAAGUUUCGGCGGUUGGGGAUGGACUCGCGGCUUAUCAGCUUGUUGGUGGGGUAGUGGCUUACCAAGGCUUUGACGGGUAGCCGGCCUGAGAGGGUGACCGGCCACAUUGGGACUGAGAUACGGCCCAGACUCCUACGGGAGGCAGCAGUGGGGAAUAUUGCACAAUGGGCGGAAGCCUGAUGCAGCAACGCCGCGUGCGGGAUGACGGCCUUCGGGUUGUAAACCGCUUUCGCCUGUGACGAAGCGUGAGUGACGGUAAUGGGUAAAGAAGCACCGGCUAACUACGUGCCAGCAGCCGCGGUGAUACGUAGGGUGCGAGCGUUGUCCGGAUUUAUUGGGCGUAAAGGGCUCGUAGGUGGUUGAUCGCGUCGGAAGUGUAAUCUUGGGGCUUAACCCUGAGCGUGCUUUCGAUACGGGUUGACUUGAGGAAGGUAGGGGAGAAUGGAAUUCCUGGUGGAGCGGUGGAAUGCGCAGAUAUCAGGAGGAACACCAGUGGCGAAGGCGGUUCUCUGGGCCUUUCCUGACGCUGAGGAGCGAAAGCGUGGGGAGCGAACAGGCUUAGAUACCCUGGUAGUCCACGCUGUAAACGGUGGGUACUAGGUGUGGGGUCCAUUCCACGGGUUCCGUGCCGUAGCUAACGCUUUAAGUACCCCGCCUGGGGAGUACGGCCGCAAGGCUAAAACUCAAAGGAAUUGACGGGGCCCCGCACAAGCGGCGGAGCAUGCGGAUUAAUUCGAUGCAACGCGUAGAACCUUACCUGGGUUUGACAUGGAUCGGGAGUGCUCAGAGAUGGGUGUGCCUCUUUUGGGGUCGGUUCACAGGUGGUGCAUGGCUGUCGUCAGCUCGUGUCGUGAGAUGUUGGGUUAAGUCCCGCAACGAGCGCAACCCUUGUUCACUGUUGCCAGCACGUUAUGGUGGGGACUCAGUGGAGACCGCCGGGGUCAACUCGGAGGAAGGUGGGGAUGACGUCAAGUCAUCAUGCCCCUUAUGUCCAGGGCUUCACGCAUGCUACAAUGGCUGGUACAGAGAGUGGCGAGCCUGUGAGGGUGAGCGAAUCUCGGAAAGCCGGUCUCAGUUCGGAUUGGGGUCUGCAACUCGACCUCAUGAAGUCGGAGUCGCUAGUAAUCGCAGUUCAGCAACGCUGCGGUGAAUACGUUCCCGGG
rnacentral:rRNA from 1 species